ACUACCAAAAGAACCAAAACGCUAAGAACGACCCAUCUCUCUCGCGAUGCAACCCUAGCGCCGUCGACCUCUACCUCUACCGGCGCCGUCGACCUUUAUCUCAUUCGUCUUCUCUCUCUCACUCGCUCGCAGUCGUCCUAAGCGUCGUCGUCCUCUCUCUCACUCGUCAAAUCGAACUCCAAAUCGAAGCUUUCUCCGGCCUCUACUCUCACGAACGGAACCUUGUCUUUCCCUCUCACAUCGAUUCAGUUCCGGGAGAAGACAGUGGAUGGUCAAGAACCUACUGAUUUGCUGGUUCAUACAGCCGAGGCCUCUGUUGUGCCAGAACUGCUUAGUAAGAAGACUACUUUGAAAAGGGUGACUUGAUUUCAUCUCAAUUUUUAUGUAUUUGAAACAUAAUUUAUCUUUGUGUUUGAUGGUUAACACUUAACAAGGUUCCUCUUUAUGGUUGAUUUUUAUGCCUUUAUUAUGAUUAUUAGAAUUUAAUUUGUUGUUCUGAAUUAUGAACAAUGGCCAUGAUCCUUAGCUUAGCUAUUAAGUAGAAGGUUUAGGAUAAAUUGGAAACUCACUCAUCUUUCUUCCUUGGCCGAACCACACACUCCACCAUUUUCAUCCUUUGGAAGCUUGUUUGAAAGCUAGGAGUUGUGAGCUUCCUCUUCUAAGGUACUAAAAUGAGGUGGUGAAGGAAGAUACUCAUUGGAUUGGCAAAGUGAAAAUAUGGAUUAGAUAUAGCACACUCUUUAAUUUCAAAUAUUAUAGGGUUAUGGAAGAAGGAAACGGU